rnacentral:lncRNA from 1 species
GUUUAUUUAUUGCUGUAAUUACAGUAACAGCACAAGAAACCAACAGCAACAGUCAAUUUUGAAACGAACACAAAUAUGUAAAAAUCAAACAUUAUUGUCGUUUGUUUAUCGUUUCUAGUUUUUUAUAUAUAUUAGACGGUUGGUUUUCCCGUUUGAAUGGUUUUACACUAGUCAUUUUUGAGGCCCUUUAUAGCGUGAUGUGCGUGUGAGUCAAUGCUCCGUGUUAAAGACCGUACUCUGUGUUAUUUUG